UCUCAUUUUCAUUCUUGUGGUCUUAUGAGUUUGCAUGCAUCACAGGUACAUAUCUCAUGCUUCAUCUUUUCAAGGAAUCACAUGAGACACUUUUUCUUAUUUGAAACUCCUGGAGCUGGUAGACGAGUAACCAAUGGCUUUUGAGCUGUUGCCUCAAGGCUGCUAUGAAUUAAAAUGACACUGAAUCUUGAAAAGCUGUGGAUUGAUGUAUACUUAGCUGCAAAGUUUGAGUUUCCAUUCUGAGCUGAUAAAAAAUUUAGUGGCUGCAUCCUCCCUUCCCACACACACCCCAAAAGAAAAAGGGGGGGGGGUGGAUGAAUGUCGACCUCUGGUUUGUACACUACUAUUCUGAUGAGUGAGCGAUCAACUUUGAAUACCUCUUCUAUAGAACUUGAUGAUUUCUUCAGUGAGCAGAUGAUUAAGUUAAGAAAUCGGGGUCUGUUUUCAGAAUUUAUGCGACAUCCUUGCUGCUUUAUUCACCCCAAAAACUGCAUUUUUCUCAUGGGUGCUCCAACUAUUCCAAGUUCAUGCAUUGAGGAUAUUCAUCUUUUCAAGAAACUGCCAUUAAUUAGCUAGCUCUUCCAAAGAGUGAAAAACAAAUUAUGGAAGAAAGAAGUAAAAAUAGAAUUUUUUGUUUUCUGCUUUAACCUUUUAAUUACUACACAAUUCAAUUAAACCAUUUACCCAAUUAACUGGGUUGGUUGUAUGAUCUUGUUUCCUCUUUCCUUUAUGUUUUAGGCCAUAUGUUAAGUUACCUUGUAAGAACUUUGUAUUCUCUCUUUAAAGUCAUUUGGCCUUUCCCUUGUUGGUUUAAUCUUCAUUCAUGGGUCUUCAUUAUA